CCUACGGGUGACAGCAGUGGGGAAUAUUGCACAAUGGGGGGAACCCUGAUGCAGCAACGCCGCGUGAAGGUCAGUGCCCUAUGGAUUGUAAACCUCUUUAGGCGGGGAGCAAUGCCGGGCACGCGUGCCCGGAGGGAGAGUACCCGCAGAAUAAGCAUCGGCUAACUCCGUGCCAGCAGCCGCGGUAAUACGGAGGAUGCGAGCGUUAUCCGGAUUUAUUGGGUUUAAAGGGUGCGUAGGCGGAUUUUUAAGUCAGCGGUAAAAUGUCCGGGCUCAACCCGGGCCGGCCGUUGAAACUGGGGAUCUUGAGUGGGCGAGAAGUAUGCGGAAUGCGUGGUGUAGCGGUGAAAUGCAUAGAUAUCACGCAGAACUCCGAUUGCGAAGGCAGCAUACCGGCGCCCGACUGACGCUGAGGCACGAAAGCGUGGGGAUCGAACAGGAUUAGAUACCCUUGUAGUC
rnacentral:rRNA from 1 species